UCGGCUUAGAGUUUGAUCAUGGCUCAGGACGAACGCUGGCGGCGUGCCUAAUACAUGCAAGUCGAACGCUGGAGCUUGCUCCAGGAGUGGCGAACGGGUGAGUAACACGCGGGUAACCUGCCCAUCAGAAGGGGAUAACACUUGGAAACAGGUGCUAAUACCGUAUAACAAUCGAACCGCAUGGUUUCGGUUGAAAGGCGUUUUCGUCACUGAUGGAUGGACCCGCGGUGCAUUAGCUAGUUGGUGAGGUAACGGCUCACCAAGGCAACGAUGCAUAGCCGACCUGAGAGGGUGAUCGGCCACAUUGGGACUGAGACACGGCCCAAACUCCUACGGGAGGCAGCAGUAGGGAAUCUUCGGCAAUGGACGAAAGUCUGACCGAGCAACGCCGCGUGAGUGAAGAAGGUUUUCGGAUCGUAAAACUCUGUUGUUAGAGAAGAACAAGGAUGAGGAAUUUCAUCCCUUGACGGUAUCUAACCAGAAAGCCACGGCUAACUACGUGCCAGCAGCCGCGGUAAUACGUAGGUGGCAAGCGUUGUCCGGAUUUAUUGGGCGUAAAGCGAGCGCAGGCGGUUUCUUAAGUCUGAUGUGAAAGCCCCCGGCUCAACCGGGGAGGGUCAUUGGAAACUGGGAAACUUGAGUGCAGAAGAGGAGAGUGGAAUUCCAUGUGUAGCGGUGAAAUGCGUAGAUAUAUGGAGGAACACCAGUGGCGAAGGCG
rnacentral:rRNA from 1 species